UACGGAGGGUGCGAGCGUUGUUCGGAAUUACUGGGCGUAAAGAGCGCGCAGGCGGUCGGAUAAGUCGAAUGUGAAAGCCCCCGGCUCAACUGGGGAGGGUCAUUCGAUACUGUUCGACUCGAAGGCAGGAGAGGGAAGUGGAAUUCCCGGUGUAGUGGUGAAAUGCGUAGAUAUCGGGAGGAACACCAGUGGCGAAGGCGACUUCCUGGCCUGUUCUUGACGCUGAGGCGCGAAAGCUAGGGGAGCAAACGGG
rnacentral:rRNA from 1 species